UUGAGCUAAGGACUGGCUGUAGCCUAGACAGUCUUCCAGCCUGGACGGAGGCCUCCUGAGCAACUCAGAGUGAAUGUGUUUUCAGAGUUAAGUACCAGGUGGGUGUGAUUUGUGUGUGUGUGUGCUUGUGUGUGUGCGCCAUGUUUUGAGUUUGGAUCAGGGGUGUGGGAUGGGGGGCUCAUUGUUGGGCUGUGCCUGCCUGGAAGAUCUCCUUGGCUGUGACACACAUAUUGAUGUCUUUUGAAAUGUCUAGCUUGUUCCGGAGGCUUUGUCAAGGCUAUCUUCCAGACCCUUCAACCCCUUCUCUUCCACCCUUUGGACCUUCAGGAUGGAUAGCGAAGGGCUUGUGCAGUUAGAUGUCAUCACCACAGACUCUGCCUGGGAAAUGGGAGGAGGUGAUUUCAUCCCUGUGUGCAGGUCACAGAGUGCCCCCACACAAGUUAAAUUGCUGCAACUUUGACCGGCAGUGCAGUCACACAGGAUCCAUCCCCCUUGUAUCUGAGGGCGUGGAACCUGCUGUGUCCGGCUCAAGGCAGUUUCUCGGGGCCACCCAUUGCCAGAUCCACUGUCUAGGGAUCAAAAAGGACUUCAAGAGGUGCAGAGACUUCCAAGAUCACACAGAGGUGGGACCUGAGUGUACUGAGUCCAAACACAGGUAUCUGCUUCUCUGUCUGUCUUUCCUUCUUGCUGUCUUUGGAGGCAGGCAUUGUGGGUACAGACAGCUUCCAUGGCCAGGGUAUGCUGCCCUUGAGCACAGCCCUGCUGUUCCUAGGCUGGACAGACACAUGGACAAGCAUCAUCAUCCUGAAAACCUCAUGGUUUCCUCGAUUGGUUGCCCUGAGGGUCUGCCCAAGGCCAGGGUUUCCCCACUAGCCAACAUCUCUAAAUCCCAGGGACACUAUUCCAUUUUGGAGUUUCUCCCCAAUGCCCCCAAUGGCUCUCCAUUGCCAAGUGCCCCAGGGACUCCUAGGCUGUGAGAUAUUAUUCCUAGGUCAUCGGGAGGUCUCUACUUUGAAAGUGGGGAAACUGAGUCUCAAGCUCGGGGACAUCAAUAGUCAGGAAGCUCAGAUCCACAGAGAGAAGCUGGCUUCUGCCCGAGUUCCAUACUCCUCUAGGCUUCUCCAUCGGCCACAUGGUAAGUUGGAUCGAGGGUAGACAAGCUGGAGCUGUGCAUGUCCCCAGCUGUGCCUAAGGGACCCUACUUCCCCUGAGAACAAAGCUAUCACCAAGCCUGUCUCUGCUGCAGUUCAUGUCCCAGCUGUGGCUCAGGGUCCCCCAAUUCCCCUGCUACAGUGCAUGUCCCAGCUGUGCCUCAGGGACCCCAUGUUCCCUGCUGCAGUGCAUGUCCCUAGAUGUGCCUCAGGGUCCCCAUGUCCCCUGCUGCAGUGUGUGUCCCCAGCUGUGUCUCAGGGUUCCCCCAAUUCUCCUGCUGUAGUACAUGUUCCCAGCUGUGUCUCAUGGACCCCAGUUCCUCUGAGAACAGCAUUAUCACCAAGCCUGUCUCAGAUGGGGUUGAGGUUUCCAGGACUGCACUAGGAGGUCUGUGUCCCUCGUUGACCCCGAAGCCACCUCCUUGUUCCUUGUGGUACCCAACAGGGCACAAGGAUAGCUUCCCCAGGGAAGGUUACAGAUGUGUGUCUCUCAGCCAAGGACAGAGCCCAGGACAACAGACAGACAAACAGAUGGAUGGACGGGAGGCUCCUGCUCCUUGUUACAGUCAAGUGCAUCAUCUCUGUCUGAGCCUGCCACCUUCAGUAUUUGGUAGCCACCCUUCAGAUGAUGGAAAUUCCAUUCUGACCUCUUUCCAGGCACGUUCAGAAUCUCUGGGGUUGAGACUUCUCCAAAAACUUCUGCAGGAUCCUGGUGGGAAGCUCUCUCCUCUCUCUGCGUCAGCUUCCUGGGGGACCCACCGUUCCUUCCAGCCCAGAGCGGCAUCACUGUCUACACAUCACAAGCCUGGGUUGGUGUCGAGUGUCUCUGACUUUGGAGUCUCGAGCCCCGGACUUAGUUUUAUGGGCUUUGGCUGUCGAGGGCAGCCGACGACUCCAUCCAUCAACCGGGGACUGCUCUAACACUAAUGGUGAAUUUAUAGAAGUGGUUAAACAAAGUGUUGACAAUGCGGACGGUGUGUUUCUGAUUAACACACGAUUCCGAGGGAAGCUGCCAUCCGAGGGGGGAGUCAGUAAAACACAGCAGUGAAUUCCCAGGCCCCGGAGACUCCGACUAGACUGGAUCACCAGAGGUUGCGCAAGGAGAUCAUGAGUCUGAGGCUGCUGUGGGGACUCUUGUACAAACCCAGAGCCACCCCUCCCUUCCCCCCCUUUUUUUUUCUUGAGAGAUUACAUCUGAGUUCUCUCUUCCAGCCUUAAGCGUUUCCAUUAGAAAAUUCUGUCAGCUCCCAUGGUGUUCUCUCCAAACCCUGUCCUCAGACCAACCCCUCUCCC
rnacentral:lncRNA from 1 species